UACGUAGGGGGCUAGCGUUGCUCGGAAUUACUGGGCGUAAAGGGCGCGUAGGCGGAUAUCUAAGUUGGGGGUGAAAUCCCGGGGCUCAACCUCGGAAUUGCCUUCAAAACUGGAUAUCUUGAGUUCGGGAGAGGUGAGUGGAACUCCGAGUGUAGAGGUGAAAUUCGUAGAUAUUCGGAAGAACACCAGUGGCGAAGGCGACUCACAGGCCCGAUACUGACGCUGAGGCGCGAAAGCGUGGGGAGCAAACAGG
rnacentral:rRNA from 1 species